GAUCGGUACGGGUUGUGAGAGCAAGAGCCCGGAGAUGGAACUGAGACAAGGUUCCAGGCCUACGGGGCGCAGCAGGCGCGAAACCUCCGCAAUGUGAGAAAUCGCGACGGGGGGAUCCCAAGUGCCAUUCUUAACGGGAUGGCUUUUCAUUAGUGUAAAAAGCUUUUGGAAUAAGAGCUGGGCAAGACCGGUGCCAGCCGCCGCGGUAACACCGGCAGCUCUAGUGGUAGCAACUUUUAUUGGGCCUAAAGCGUCCGUAGCCGGUUUAAUAAGUCUCUGGUGAAAUCCUGUAGCUUAACUGUGGGAAUCGCUGGAGAUACUAUUAGACUUGAGACCGGGAGAGGUUGGAGGUACUCCCAGGGUAGAGGUGAAAUUCUGUAAUCCUGGGAGGACCGCCUGUUGCGAAGGCGUCUAACUGGAACGGUUCUGACGGUGAGGGACGAAAGUUAGGGGCGCGAACCGGAUUAGAUACCCGGGUAGUCCUAACUGUAAACGAUGCGGACUUGGUGUUGGGGUGGCUUUGAGCUGUCCCAGUGCCGAAGGGAAGCUGUUAAGUCCGCCGCCUGGGAAGUACGGUCGCAAGACUGAAACUUAA
rnacentral:rRNA from 1 species